UUACUCAAAAUGAGGUACUACUUGUUUUGUUCUCUAAAAAUAAGUUUAUACUUUAUUUUAUCAAAGGUUUUGAAUUAAGAAGUUAUUAAUGAGUAUUUAUUAUUUUUGGGUAUGAUCGAAUAAAUCAUGACGAUGAGGAAUUAAUGACGGAGGUUGAGAGUUCGAAUGAUGAUUAUUGGAGAACAAGCUAAGUGAGAUGAUUAAGGAUGAUCGAAUGAGGGAUAAUGAUGACAGAGCUGAAAUUAAUCAAAAGCAAAGGGAUUAAAGGAAUUUAGUUAGUUUAGGGAUUAUGGAACCAAGGCUUAUGUAUUAUGGAUCAUCGAGAGCUGAGAUAGAUUGAUUAUUUUAUUACAGUAAGGAAGACUGGAGUUGUAUUUUUUUUAUUGAAUAUUCUCAUUAAGGAGUAUAUUUAUUUGUGGGCCCAUAACCCACAGGUGGCUAUGAGAUUAUCUAUA